GACGUAGGGCGCGAGCGUUGUCCGGAUUUAUUGGGCGUAAAGAGCUCGUAGGCGGUUUGUUACGUCGUUCGUGAAAACUUGGGGCUCAACUCCAAGCUUGCGGUCGAUACGGGCAGGCUAGAGUUCGGUAGGGGAGACUGGAAUUCCUGGUGUAGCGGUGAAAUGCGCAGAUAUCAGGAGGAGCACCGGUGGCGAAGGCGGAUCUCUGGGCCAUUACUGACGCUGAGGCGCGAAAGCGUGGGGAGCGAACAGG
rnacentral:rRNA from 1 species